GCUUGUGGAAGCUGACGAAGAUGAUGUUGAAGAGGUUUUGGCAUCCCGUGACCAAGAACUGAUAACAAUCGAAACCAAAUUCAUUAGCGCAAUGAACGUGAAGCAACUGCGCGAGAUUUUAUUUCGGCUUUUUUCUUAAAGACGUGCUGUCUGCCUCCCGGCUACCGCUGCACCCCUGCAUGCUUCGUGGAUUGGGAUCGGGUCGCUGCCCGGAGGGUGGGGGGCACUGCACCACCCCAACCUGUGACAACUCAGCCUAACACACCAUCGUCAGUGUGCUCGGCGCUGUCCCGAUUCCGGAGGUGUUGUGAUGACAUCCAGCUGACACCUAAUGAGAAGUGUCUAAAAUAAAUAUGAAACUGAAGGUGGGAGCCUAAGGAAUCGAUCACAAAUAAGAGAUCAUGCCUUGUUCUCAUUGCCACCAUUGGGGAGGAGGUACAGGAGCCUGAAGGCACACAUUCAGUGAUUCAGUUAGUCCUGACGAAGGGUCUCGGCUCGAAACGUCAACUGCACUUCUUCCUAUAGAUGCUGCCUGGCCUGCUGCGUUCCACCAUUUUGUGUGUGCUGCAUGAAUUUUCAGCAUCUGCAGAUUUUCUCAUGUUUGCGAGUUUAAAAUGAAAGAUUGUUUAUGGUUGUUCUCUUUGGGUUUCAACUCAUAAAAGAAUGACAGC